AUCACUACGCUAGAUGCAUAUCAAUAAGCGGAGGAAAAGAAACUAACAAGGAUUCCCUUAGUAACGGCGAGUGAAGCGGGAAGAGCUCAAAUUUGAAAUCUUCAAGGUUCUACCUUGACGAAUUGUAGUUUAUAGAAGUGUUUUCUGUUAGUAGAGUGGCAAAAGUUCUUUGGAAUAGGACAUCAUAGAGGGUGAGAAUCCCGUAUUUGGUCAUUCCUCCUAGCUUUGUGAUACACUUUCAACGAGUCGGAUUGUUUGGGAAUGCAGUCCAAAAUGGGUGGUAAAUUUCAUCUAAAGCUAAAUAUUGGCGAGAGACCGAUAGCGAACAAGUACCGUGAGGGAAAGAUGAAAAGAACUUUGAAAGGAGAGUUAAACAGUACGUGAAACUGUCAAAAGGGAAGCGUUUGACACCAGUGUUGUUUAGUUGAAAAUCAAUUCAAUAAUUUUUGAUUUUGAGUAGUAUUGACUUCAUCAGCUUGCUGCUUUCUUUUCGGAAAUUAUUGAAUGCACUUUUCAGUUAACAAGUCAACAUCAAUUUCUUUUGUUGUAAAAGGGUAAGAGGAAGGUGGCUUACGCUUCGGCGUAAGUGUUUAUAGCCUUUUACCUCUGCAAUCGGAGAGAUUGAGGACAGCAGCGUAGGCUCCUUCGGGGGUUAGAUACACUUGUGCUAAGCUAUAGCCUUGUAUAGACAACUUGUUGACUAUGCUCAGUCAUGUAGCUUACUCGCUUGUGCUAUUUUACCUACGCUUAGGAUGUUGACGAGACUGUCGAUCUCAUCUAUACAUGACUCUGUGCAUAUCAAUAAGCGGAGGAAAAGGAGUAUACCUACGCUUAGGAUGUUGAUCUACAGAGCGAGAGU
rnacentral:rRNA from 1 species